CCAGUGAGUGCCUGGCAGCCAGUAGAUCUGUGGAGAGUGGACUGGAAGUUUUCUUCAAAGGGAAUGUGCCCAAGAGACUUCCCGGAGGAGCUAAAUGAUUCAGCACACAGACCCCCCAAAGAACGCAGUGGCAUCCUUACCUUCCAAACUGGAGAAGAGAUAUCUCUUGUCUCAUGGGAGUUGCAUGUGGAGGAUGCCAGCAAGGAGAAUCUCCAAGAUACCACAAAAAGUUCCCUCUAAGAGAAACAAUCAGCCUUGAGCAUGUCUAAGCCAGAAAGCACCAGAAUCAGAUCACCAUAAACCCAGCCAGAUAAAGGUGUGUACCCACCCGCCACCCCAUCCCCUAGACUUUAUCCUUCCCAGGAGUCAGAAACAACAGCUAAUGGGAGAGGCGAGUACAGAAAAGAGACUGACCCCAUCCUCCAUCCCACUGCAGGCUUCUGGCGUGGAAUAGGCCAAGCAGGAAGAGGAGGAAGCCAUGAUGUUGGUUGAAGUUGUGAAUUUCAAUCACGAUCCUGGACAUGAUAGUUUACAGAAACGAGGGUAUAAUUAGAUGAAAGUAACCAGACAACUCUUCAUUGUCUCAGAGUGACCAGAAAAGCUCUGGAAGAUGCCAGAGACUUCAUCUAGGUCAGGGAAAGAAAUAACCCAUAGAGAUGAUUUCAAGAUUCCUUUGUAGAGAGACAGCCCAG
rnacentral:lncRNA from 10 species